GGCUCCGUAGCUUGGUGGAAAAAAGCGCCCGUCUGACAAAUUGGGAGUCGUGGGUUCGAUUCCCACCGGAACAC
rnacentral:tRNA from 1 species